GAUGAACGCUGGCGGCGUGCCUAAUACAUGCCAGUCGAGCGAACAGAUGAGGAGCUUGCUCCUCUGACGUUAGCGGCGGACGGGUGAGUAACACGUGGAUAACCUACCUAUAAGACUGGGAUAACUUCGGGAAACCGGAGCUAAUACCGGAUAAUAUAUUGAACCGCAUGGUUCAAUAGUGAAAGACGGUUUUGCUGUCACUUAUAGAUGGAUCCGCGCCGCAUUAGCUAGUUGGUAAGGUAACGGCUUACCAAGGCAACGAUGCGUAGCCGACCUGAGAGGGUGAUCGGCCACACUGGAACUGAGACACGGUCCAGGCUCCUACGGGAGGCAGCAGUAGGGAAUCUUCCGCAAUGGGCGAAAGCCUGACGGAGCAACGCCGCGUGAGUGAUGAAGGUCUUCGGAUCGUAAAACUCUGUUAUUAGGGAAGAACAAAUGUGUAAGUAACUAUGCACGUCUUGACGGUACCUAAUCAGAAAGCCACGGCUAACUACGUG
rnacentral:rRNA from 1 species